GAUGAAGAACGUAGCGAAAUGCGAUAAGUAGUGUGAAUUGCAGAAUUCAGUGAAUCAUCGAAUCUUUGAACGCACAUUGCGCCCCUUGGUAUCCCGAGGGGCAUGCCUGUUCGAGCAUCAUUUCACCACUCAAGCCUGGCUUGGUGUUGGGCGACGUCCCCUUUGGGGACGCGCCUCGAAACGCUCGGCGGCGUGGCACCGGCUUUAAGCGUAGCAGAAUCUUUCGCUUUGGAAGUCGGGGCCCCGUCUGCCGGAAGACCUACUCGCAAGGUUGACCUCGGAUCAGGCAGGGAUACCCGCUGAACUUAAGCAUAUCAAUAAGCGGAGGA
rnacentral:misc_RNA from 1 species